rnacentral:rRNA from 1 species
GUCUUGUGCCGCCGAGCUGUGGUCACCUCGUGUCUUUAGAUGUUGGGUUAAGUCCCGCAACGAGCGCAACCCUCGUCCUAUGUUGCCAGCACGUCAUGGUGGGGACUCAUAGGAGACUGCCGGGGUCAACUCGGAGGAAGGUGGGGAUGACGUCAAGUCAUCAUGCCCCUUAUGUCCAGGGCUUCACGCAUGCUACAAUGGCCGGUACAAAGGGCUGCGAUCCCGUGAGGGGGAGCGAAUCCCAAAAAGCCGGUCUCAGUUCGGAUUGGGGUCUGCAACUCGACCCCAUGAAGUCGGAGUCGCUAGUAAUCGCAGA